rnacentral:lncRNA from 1 species
GGCAAAUGUAGCACUCGCAGAGAGGGCCAGGUCUGUUACAGUUAACCUCUGUGUUAUCAGCGACCGGGCCCAUCGCUGUCAGAUGCCUCUGCCGACGCGCUGCACGAGCGGAUGAAGGGGACCGGGAGUGGAUGAGUGGCAUCGGGAAGCAUCGCUCGUUUAGGGAAACAACAACAAAGCCGAGCGGCGUCUCUGGGUUUCUCGUGCAGACACAUUUCCACUGCUGAGUCACUGUCAGAUUCAUGCCGUCUUUCCUCUGAUCUGGGAACACAGAGGAGACCAGUGGAGCCGUCAGUCCCCAUCCAAGCUGCUCUGUCUGGGGGACACGAGGCCGGCCCGGCUGCCUGGCCCCUUCACAGAGACAGUGCUGGGUUUAAUUAUCCCCAGCUGUGCUUCAUCUCCCUCCCCAGCUGGGCUGCGUGUCCCAGUGUCCUCUGCAAGGAAGGCAGGGAUACGCGGGAGUCAAGUAAAAAGAAGAGACGGAUGAAGAGCUGUGGCGAGAAGAUGCUUGACUUCCCUCGGUGCAGCUGGCACGACUGUCUGAACCACUCAGACUCGGAACACCCCCCCCCACCCCCCCCCCCCCCCCCCCCCCCUCCCCCUCCUCACCGUGGCGAUAGGCAAAGCGCGUCUCCGGGUCCCAAGCCUCUGAAGUCAUCAGCCUGUGAAGGUCAAGUCUGAUUCAGAAAGAGACAAGGCCGAUUGGCAUGGAAAUGGAAUCUGCUGUCUCUGUGCCAGACGUCCAGACUGACUGACUGACUGCCCUCAGCCUCUCAUCACAUCCAAGUCUAUCCUCUCAUCGAGCCGUCCACUCCUCCUCCUCCCGCCGCCGCCUCUGCAUACCAAUAUCAGAACAACGCGGCGGAGGAGCCCGACUGGAGCGGGCCUGUUUAAUAAUCGCGGUGUCGAACAACGUCUGCGUGAACGGGG